AGACUGCAGGCUGCAACUCGCCUGCACGAAGCGGAAUUGCUAGUAAUCGUAGGUCAGCAUACUACGGUGAAUACGUUCCCGGGCCUUGUACACACCGCCCGUCAAAACCAUGAGAGUUGGCAACACCCGAAGUCGGUAGUCUAACCGCAAGGAGGACGCCGCCGAAGGUGGGGUUGAUGAUUAGGGUUAAGUCGUAACAAGGUAGC
rnacentral:rRNA from 1 species